rnacentral:rRNA from 1 species
AGGGUGUAAACGCUGCAGACUUGGUGUUGGAGGCCCGUUUGGGGGGCAUUCAGUGCCGGAGAGAAGUUGUUAAGUCUGCUACUUGGGGAGUACGUCCGCAAGGAUGAAACUUAAAGGAAUUGGCGGGGGAGCACCGCAACGGGAGGAGCGUGCGGUUUAAUUGGAUUCAACACCGUAAACUCACCAGGGAAGACUGUUACAUGAAGGCCGAGAUGAAGACUCUGCUAGAUUUUCAGAGAGGUGGUGCAUGGCGUCAGUGACU